AUUCCCGCCGCGCGCGGCGGGCGGGGCGGGGGCACGGGGGGCCUACGGGAGGCAGCAGUGAGGAAUAUUGGUCAAUGGCCGGAAGGCUGAACCAGCCAUGCCGCGUGCGGGAGGACGGCCCUAUGGGUUGUAAACCGCUUUUGUGUGGGAGCAAUAAGAGUCACGUGUGGCUUGAUGAGAGUACCAUACGAAUAAGCAUCGGCUAACUCCGUGCCAGCAGCCGCGGUAAU
rnacentral:rRNA from 1 species